rnacentral:rRNA from 1 species
UACAGAGGGUGCGAGCGUUAAUCGGAAUUACUGGGCGUAAAGCGUGCGUAGACGGUUAUUUAAGUCGGAUGUGAAAGCCCCGGGCUCAACCUGGGAAUUGCAUUCGAGACUGAAUAGCUAGGGUGCGGUAGAGGGAAGCGGAAUUUCCGGUGUAGCGGUGAAAUGCGUAGAUAUCGGAAGAACAUCAGUGGCGAAAGCGGCUUCCUGGACCAGCACCGACGUUCAGGCACGAAAGCGUGGGGAGCAAACAGG